rnacentral:tRNA from 1 species
AGCAGUGUGGCUCAGUGGAAAGAGCCUGGGCUUUGGAGUCAGAGGUCAUGGGUUCAAAUCCCAGCUCGGCCA